GAUGAACGCUGGCGGCGUGCUUAACACAUGCAAGUCGAACGAUGAAGCCCAGCUUGCUGGGUGGAUUAGUGGCGAACGGGUGAGUAACACGUGAGUAACCUGCCCCCGACUCUGGGAUAAGCCCGGGAAACUGGGUCUAAUACCGGAUAUGACCUCGCGCCGCAUGGUGCGGGGUGGAAAGAUUUAUCGGUGGGGGAUGGACUCCCGGCCUAUCAGCGUGUUGGUGAGGUAAUGGCUCACCAAGGCGACGACGGGUAGCCGGCCUGAGAGGGUGACCGGCCACGCUGGGACUGAGACACGGCCCAGACUCCUACGGGAGGCAGCAGUGGGGAAUAUUGCACAAUGGGCGCAAGCCUGAUGCAGCGACGCCGCGUGAGGGAUGACGGCCUUCGGGUUGUAAACCUCUUUCAGUAGGGAAGAAGCGAAAGUGACGGUACCUGCAGAAGAAGCGCCGGCUAACUACGUGCCAGCAGCCGCCGUAA
rnacentral:rRNA from 1 species